UAUAAAAGCUUUGGGGAUUCAUGAAAAGG
rnacentral:piRNA from 1 species